GACGAACGCUGGCGGCGUGCUUAACACAUGCAAGUCGAACGGAAAGGCCCUGCUUUUGUGGGGUGCUCGAGUGGCGAACGCGUGAGUAACACGUGAGUAACCUGCCCUUGACUUUGGGAUAACUUCAGGAAACUGGGGCUAAUACCGGAUAGGAGCUCCUGCUGCAUGGUGGGGGUUGGAAAGUUUCGGCGGUUGGGGAUGGACUCGCGGCUUAUCAGCUUGUUGGUGGGGUAGUGGCUUACCAAGGCUUUGACGGGUAGCCGGCCUGAGAGGGUGACCGGCCACAUUGGGCCUGAGAUACGGCCCAGACUCCUACGGGAGGCAGCAGUGGAGAAUAUUGCAGAGUGGGCGGAAGCCUGAUGCAGCAGCGCCGCGUGCGGGAUGACGGCCUUCGGGUUGUAAACCGCUUUCGCCUGUGACGAAGCGUGAGUGACGGUAAUGGGUAAAGAAGCACCGGCUAACUACGUG
rnacentral:rRNA from 1 species